rnacentral:rRNA from 1 species
AUGCAAGUCGAACGGUAAGGCCCUUCGGGGUACACGAGUGGCGAACGGGUGAGUAACACGUGGGUGAUCUGCCCUGCACUUCGGGAUAAGCCUGGGAAACUGGGUCUAAUACCGGAUAGGACCAUGGACUUCACGGUUUGUGGUGGAAAGCUUUUGCGGUGUGGGAUGGGCCCGCGGCCUAUCAGCUUGUUGGUGGGGUAAUGGCCUACCAAGGCGACGACGGGUAGCCGGCCUGAGAGGGUGUCCGGCCACACUGGGACUGAGAUACGGCCCAGACUCCUACGGGAGGCAGCAGUGGGGAAUAUUGCACAAUGGGGCGCAAGCCUGAUGCAGCGACGCCGCGUGAGGGAUGACGGCCUUCGGGUUGUAGACCUCUUUCAAUAGGGACGAAGCGCAAGUGACGGUACCUAUAGAAGAAGCACCGGCCAACUACGUG